rnacentral:rRNA from 1 species
UACGGAGGAUGCGAGCGUUAUCCGGAUUUAUUGGGUUUAAAGGGUGCGCAGGCGGUCUGUUAAGUCAGCGGUCAAAGCCCGGGGCUCAACCCCGGCGAGCCGUUGAAACUGGCGGGCUGGAGUUGGAGAGAAGUACGCGGAAUGCGCGGUGUAGCGGUGAAAUGCUUAGAUAUCGCGCAGAACGCCGAUUGCGAAGGCAGCUUACCGGCGCUCAACUGACGCUGAGGCACGAAAGUGCGGGUAUCGAACAGG